rnacentral:rRNA from 1 species
UACGAGGGGGGGCGAGCGUUGUUCGGAAUUAUUGGGCGUAAAGGGUGCGUAGGCGGUUUGGUAAGUCUUGUGUGAAAUCUCCUGGCUCAACUGGGAGGGUGCGCCGGAAACUGGAGUGCUUGAGCGUGGGAGAGGAAAGCGGAAUUCCUGGUGUAGCGGUGAAAUGCGUAGAUAUCAGGAGGAACACCUGUGGUGUAGACGGCUUUCUGGACCAUAGCUGACGCUGAGACACGAAAGCGUGGGUAGCAAACAGG